GACGAACGCUGACGGCGUGCCUAAUACAUGCAAGUCGAACGCUUCUUUCCUCCCGAGUGCUUGCACUCAAUUGGAAAGAGGAGUGGCGGACGGGUGAGUAACACGUGGGUAACCUACCCAUCAGAGGGGGAUAACACUUGGAAACAGGUGCUAAUACCGCAUAACAGUUUAUGCCGCAUGGCAUAAGAGUGAAAGGCGCUUUCGGGUGUCGUUGAUGGAUGGACCCGCGGUGCAUUAGCUAGUUGGUGAGGUAACGGCUCACCAAGGCCACGAUGCAUAGCCGACCUGAGAGGGUGAUCGGCCACACUGGGACUGAGACACGGCCCAGACUCCUACGGGAGGCAGCAGUAGGGAAUCUUCGGCAAUGGACGAAAGUCUGACCGAGCAACGCCGCGUGAGUGAAGAAGGUUUUCGGAUCGUAAAACUCUGUUGUUAGAGAAGAACAAGGACGUUAGUAACUGAACGUCCCCUGACGGUAUCUAACCAGAAAGCCACGGCUAACUACGUG
rnacentral:rRNA from 1 species